rnacentral:rRNA from 1 species
AGGAUGAACGCUAGCGGCAGGCUUAACACAUGCAAGUCGAGGGGUAUAGUUCUUCGGAGCUAGAGACCGGCGCACGGGUGCGUAACGCGUAUGCAAUCUACCUUUUACAGAGGGAUAGCCCAGAGAAAUUUGGAUUAAUACCUCAUAGUAUUAUGAAAUGGCAUCAUUUAUAAUUAAAGUCACAACGGUAAAGAUGAGCAUGCGUCCCAUUAGCUAGUUGGUAAGGUAACGGCUUACCAAGGCUACGAU